rnacentral:rRNA from 1 species
UACGUAGGGUGCGAGCGUUGUCCGGAAUUAUUGGGCGUAAAGGGCUCGUAGGCGGUCUGUUGCGUCAGGAGUGAAAACUCGGGGCUUAACCCCGAGCCUGCUUCUGAUACGGGCAGACUAGAGGUAUGCAGGGGAGAACGGAAUUCCUGGUGUAGCGGUGAAAUGCGCAGAUAUCAGGAAGAACACCUAUGGCGAAGGCAGCUCUCUGGGACGGUACUGACGCUGAGACGCGAAAGCGUGGGGAGCGAACAGG